UACGGAGGGUGCGAGCGUUGUCCGGAAUCACUGGGCGUAAAGGGCGCGUAGGCGGUCCGGUAAGCGUGUGGUGAAAGCCCGGAGCUCAACCCCGGGUCGGCCGUGCGAACUGCGGGACUGGAGCACUGUAGAGGCAGGCGGAAUUCCGGGUGUAGCGGUGGAAUGCGUAGAGAUCCGGAAGAACACCGGUGGCGAAGGCGGCCUGCUGGGCAGUAGCUGACGCUGAGGCGCGACAGCGUGGGGAGCAAACAGG
rnacentral:rRNA from 1 species